rnacentral:rRNA from 1 species
AGCAUGCAUGUCUAGUAUAAGCAACUAUACGGUGAAACUGCGAAUGGCUCAUUAAAUCAGUUAUCGUUUAUUUGAUAGUACCUUACUACUUGGAUAACCGUGGUAAUUCUAGAGCUAAUACAUGCUAAAAACCUCGACUUCGGAAGGGGUGUAUUUAUUAGAUAAAAAACCAAUGCCCUUCGGGGCUCUUUGGUGAAUCAUAAUAACUUAACGAAUCGCAUGGCCUUGCGCCGGCGAUGGUUCAUUCAAAUUUCUGCCCUAUCAACUUUCGAUGGUAGGAUAGUGGCCUACCAUGGUAUCAACGGGUAACGGGGAAUUAGGGUUCUAUUCCGGAGAGGGAGCCUGAGAAACGGCUACCACAUCCAAGGAAGGCAGCAGGCGCGCAAAUUACCCAAUCCCGACACGGGGAGGUAGUGACAAUAAAUACUGAUACAGGGCUCUUUUGGGUCUUGUAAUUGGAAUGAGUACAAUUUAAAUCCCUUAACGAGGAACAAUUGGAGGGCAAGUCUGGUGCCAGCAGCCGCGGUAAUUCCAGCUCCAAUAGCGUAUAUUAAAGUUGUUGCAGUUAAAAAGCUCGUAGUUGAACCUUGGGCCUGGCUGGCCGGUCCGCCUCACCGCGUGUACUGGUCCGGCCGGGCCUUUCCUUCUGGGGAGCCGCAUGCCCUUCACUGGGCGUGUCGGGGAACCAGGACUUUUACUUUGAAAAAAUUAGAGUGUUCAAAGCAGGCCUUUGCUCGAAUACAUUAGCAUGGAAUAAUAGAAUAGGACGUGUGGUUCUAUUUUGUUGGUUUCUAGGACCGCCGUAAUGAUUAAUAGGGAUAGUCGGGGGCAUCUGUAUUCAAUUGUCAGAGGUGAAAUUCUUGGAUUUAUUGAAGACAAACUACUGCGAAAGCAUUUGCCAAGGAUGUUUUCAUUAAUCAGUGAACGAAAGUUAGGGGAUCGAAGACGAUCAGAUACCGUCGUAGUCUUAACCAUAAACUAUGCCGACUAGGGAUCGGGGGAUGUAUCAUUUUGACUCCCUCGGCACCUUACGAGAAAUCAAAGUUUUGGGUUCUGGGGGGAGUAUGGUCGCAAGCUGACUAGAAA